rnacentral:rRNA from 1 species
CCUACGGGUGGCACCAGUGGGGAAUUGUUCACAAUGGGCGCAAGCCUGAUGACGCAACGCCGCGUGGGGGAUGAAGGUCUUCGGAUUGUAAACCCCUGUCAAAUGGGACGAAAGACUCGGGAGCUAAUCAUCUCGAGAGUGACGGUACCAUUAAAGGAAGCCACGGCUAACUCUGUGCCAGCAGCCGCGGUAAUACAGAGGUGGCAAGCGUUGUUCGGAAUUACUGGGCGUAAAGGGCGCGUAGGCGGCCCACUAAGUCAGACGUGAAAUCCCCCGGCUUAACCUGGGAACUGCGUCUGAUACUGGAGGGCUUGAGUAUGGGAGAGGGAUGUAGAAUUCCAGGUGUAGCGGUGAAAUGCGUAGAUAUCUGGAGGAAUACCGGUGGCGAAGGCGGCAUCCUGGACCAUUACUGACGCUGAUGCGCGAAAGCUAGGGGAGCAAACGGGAUUAGAUACCCGAGUAGUC